AACGUUAAACCCUUCAUUGAGUGGCUUCAGAGUGCAGAAUCAGAGUCCGAGGAAGAGUAAUGUGCCGUGCUGUCCGGGAUUGUUUGCGUUUUUUGCUUUGGCCGUGUCUUUUAUUUUGAAUAAAAAGGGGUCUUGUUUUUACCCUUGUGUCGUUGUGUUCAGUUUUAAAACUUCGACAUUGUGGUGUGUCUUUGUUUCUGGCUCGUUAAGUUAUUGAUCUCUUCCAUAGUGUCCGUCCUCUUUUGAUCUUUGUUUUAGAACAUGGAAUUGUGAUGUGUGUUUGUGUUUUUAUUGAACUCUUCCGUAUUAUUAUUAUAUUUUAAUUUUAUCUUAUUUGGUUUUUAAUGUGUUCGUAUUAGUGGUUAUUACUCCGGUCUACAUCUCA
rnacentral:lncRNA from 1 species